UUUUUACAUGUAAAUGAUUAUUAUCAGCUCAUCCUACAUUGUACAUCCCUGACAUCUCUCACACACCAGCAUAGAAUGAAUCCGUACUUUCUAAUUGUCAGUAUUUUGAUAUUAUUUAUUUCUUAUAAUUAACGAUAUUAUGGAGUUGUUCAACCAUCUCAUUCUUGCUUUUGUGCUUCUGUGGAUGUUGCAAGGGCAACCAUGUCAAUACCAGGAUGGAGUUCUUUAAAGAUUCAAUCUGAUUGGUGGGCACAUGCCACAGACCCAAAUAACAAUGUUGUGUUUCUUAAUACAUACAAAUUUGGUACUACAUUAGAAGAUAAGAUAUCUGAUCAAAAUGUGUAAUUUUUUGAAGUUAAUAGUUCUGAUCAUUAUUGAGACUUUAUUACAGGCACAUGUACAUGUGCAUAAUAAUUGUGUGGUUGUAGGAGGAAAAACUUGUAACCUUUUAAAAUUCUGUAUAUUAUAAUUGGACUUGCCACGCUUGCGUAGGUGGGUACUAAGCAUUUAGGUGUCAUUCUGUCCACAAAGUUCAAUUGAUUUUUAAAAAAGUAUAUUGUUUUGACUGAG